UACGUAGGGUGCAAGCGUUAAUCGGAAUUACUGGGCGUAAAGCGUGCGCAGGCGGUUUCGUAAGUCUGUCGUGAAAUCCCCGGGCUUAACCUGGGAAUGGCGAUGGAGACUGCGAGGCUAGAGUUUGGCAGAGGGGGGUAGAAUUCCACGUGUAGCAGUGAAAUGCGUAGAUAUCAGGAGGAAUACCGAUGGCGAAGGCAGGUCUCUGGGCUGACACUGACGCUCAUGCACGAAAGCGUGGGGAGCAAACAGG
rnacentral:rRNA from 1 species